AAAUUACAAUGCCAAUAAAAUGUUGCAGUCGUGGAAUGUCACGGGGAAUAGGAAUUUGUGUUACUAAAGCAUUUUCUUACUCUCUAGUCUCCAAAUAAAACCUUUUUUGUUGGACUUGAUAACAUGAACACAACGCUGAUGCAGAUGGAAGCAACAAUCAUAUGGACAAUCAUGGCUAGUCCACUAAAAAUGAAUCUGUGGAAUGAUGAGGAAAUUACAACUAUACCAAUAAAAAAGAACAUGUUAUUACUAAUUGGAUACAUUUUUAUAGUAAAAGGUUGUAACAGGAAGAAAUGAACGUAUGACACUAAUAGACAAACUAAAUUUGUUCUGUUUGUUGCACACCAUAGAGCCAUUUACAUAGUUGGCUAUGAGUGCACUGAAGGCCAAGUUUUGUUGUGUUUUAGGAUAUGUUCAAUGCUCUACUUCCAACCAUAAUUGAUGCAUGAUCCCUGAUAGAAAGGACAACAAAAGAAUUGCUAAAAAAAUGAAGUAAACAAGGAACAAAUUCAAGAUAAGAAUGCUUAUGAUUACUGGUUUCAAAAUAUAGAACACAAAAUGGAAUUUCAGAGAAGGAAACCUAAUGGCACAAAAAAUUGACCAUACGUAAUAUGGUUAUCUAUAUUUUCCCAAGCAAAUAAACUUGUCCAAAAGCACAAAAAAUUUAACAAGAGAAACUAUCAGUACGACUGGUAGUAGUUGAAAAUAGAAGAAAAUGCCUCAUACAAGAUGGUCAAUGUCUGUACCACAAUAACAAACAUAUGAGAGAAUACAAAUUAGUAGAAACUAAAGUUCAACUAAAAAUUUUCAAUAAUCAAACCAUACCUGAAUCCACAAUCAAGUAAUUCGUCAUCCUCCUCCACUCAACAUUGUCAUUUAUUUCUUUUUUAGAUGAUUACUUGAAUCUGAAAUUAACAGUUCCCAAAGUCUCUUGUUUCUACAUCCACAAAGUUUCCUGUUUCUACAUGUAUGAUUUUUUGCAAACGUAGGACUUUUAUAGAAAAAAUAACUUAAGGAAAUCAAACAUCAGAACAUGAUAAUUUAAGGACUAAGAGGAGUGCAGAGAUAACCCCAUAAAGAGAAUUAAAAUGAAUAUAAAAAUGAAAACCACAUACCAGUGGAGAGCAGAUGAUAGAUGGAGCGAGCGUGGAUGAUCCAACAUGUGACGUUGGGGGGAAACAUAAAAUCAACCCUUUUCCUCAUCUGCUUUUUUGUAUGGAUUUAGAAAGAAACAUCGACCGAAAUUGAUGGUGGAAGAAGGCGUGGUAGUGAUCAAUGAAACAGAAAAAACGACAUCAAUAUAGAAAAACGGAAUCGCUAUUAGAAAGAGUGAGGAGGAAAAAGAGGGAAGCGGUGGUGGGAAACGGAGUCUCAAACACGGUUGGUGACGAAUCGGUGUUGAAUGAGAGUGGAACAGACGCCUCUUACAAAGAAGGGUUAUGCGUCGGUCUGAAUGCAGGUAACGUGGCGUCCUUGUAACCUUGUGAAUUUGCUCUAGACGGCACGAGAAUGGAAGGGCUUUU
rnacentral:lncRNA from 1 species